GGCAAGAUGGCCGAGCGGUCUAAGGCGCUGUGUUCAGGUUCGAUUAGAACUAGCAACGAUUCGCAGUCUCGAAAGGGGCCUGGGUUCGAAUCCCAGUCUUGUCA
rfam:Fusarium oxysporum f. sp. cubense tropical race 4 54006 unplaced genomic scaffold supercont1.3, whole genome shotgun sequence.